AGAGUUUGAUCCUGGCUCAGGAUGAACGCUGGCGGCGUGCCUAAUACAUGCAAGUCGAGCGAACGGACGAGAAGCUUGCUUCUCUGAUGUUAGCGGCGGACGGGUGGGUAAACGUGGAUAACCUACCUAUAAGACUGGGAUAACUUCGGGAAACCGGAGCUAAUACCGGAUAAUAUUUUGAACCGCAUGGUUCAAAAGUGAAAGACGGUCUUGCUGUCACUUAUAGAUGGAUCCGCGCUGCAUUAGCUAGUUGGUAAGGUAACGGCUUACCAAGGCAACGAUGCAUAGCCGACCUGAGAGGGUGAUCGGCCACACUGGAACUGAGACACGGUCCAGACUCCUACGGGAGGCAGCAGUAGGGAAUCUUCCGCAAUGGGCGAAGCCUGACGGAGCAACGCCGCGUGAGUGAUGAAGGUCUUCGGAUCGUAAAACUCUGUUAUUAGGGAAGAACAUAUGUGUAAGUAACUGUGCACAUCUUGACGGUACCUAAUCAGAAAGCCACGGCUAACUACGUGCCAGCAGCCGCGGUAAUACGUAGGUGGCAAGCGUUAUCCGGAAUUAUUGGGCGUAAAGCGCGCGUAGGCGGUUUUUUAAGUCUGAUGUGAAAGCCCACGGCUCAACCGUGGAGGGUCUUUGGAAACUGGAAAACUUGAGUGCAGAAGAGGAAAGUGGAAUUCCAUGUGUAGCGGUGAAAUGCGCAGAGAUAUGGAGGAACACCAGUGGCGAAGGCGACUUUCUGGUCUGUAACUGACGCUGAUGUGCGAAAGCGUGGGGAUCAAACAGGAUUAGAUACCCUGGUAGUCCACGCCGUAAACGAUGAGUGCUAAGUGUUAGGGGGUUUCCGCCCCUUAGUGCUGCAGCUAACGCAUUAAGCACUCCGCCUGGGGAGUACGACCGCAAGGUUGAAACUCAAAGGAAUUGACGGGGACCCGCACAAGCGGUGGAGCAUGUGGUUUAAUUCGAAGCAACGCGAAGAACCUUACCAAAUCUUGACAUCCUUUGACAACUCUAGAGAUAGAGCCUUCCCCCUCGGGGGGCAAAGUGACAGGUGGUGCAUGGUUGUCGUCAGCUCGUGUCGUGAGAUGUUGGGUUAAGUCCCGCAACGAGCGCAACCCUUAAGCUUAGUUGCCAUCAUUAAGUUGGGCACUCUAAGUUGACUGCCGGUGACAAACCGGAGGAAGGUGGGGAUGACGUCAAAUCAUCAUGCCCCUUAUGAUUUGGGCUACACACGUGCUACAAUGGACAAUACAAAGGGCAGCGAAACCGCGAGGUCAAGCAAAUCCCAUAAAGUUGUUCUCAGUUCGGAUUGUAGUCUGCAACUCGACUACAUGAAGCUGGAAUCGCUAGUAAUCGUAGAUCAGCAUGCUACGGUGAAUACGUUCCCGGGUCUUGUACACACCGCCCGUCACACCACGAGAGUUUGUAACACCCGAAGCCGGUGGAGUAACCUUUUAGGAGCUAGCCGUCGAAGGUGGGACAAAUGAUUGGGGUGAAGUCGUAACAAGGUAGCCGUAUCGGAAGGUGCGGCUGGAUCACCU
rnacentral:rRNA from 1 species